AAUUUUCGGCAAUGGGCGAAAGCCUGACCGAGCAAUGCCGCGUGAACGAUGAAGGUCUUCGGAUCGUAAAGUUCUGUUGUUAAGGAAGAACGUUAGUAUGAGGAAAUGCAUAUUAAGUGACGGUACUUAACGAGAAAGCUCCGGCUAACUACGUGCCAGCAGCCGCGGUA
rnacentral:rRNA from 1 species